AAAUACAUUCUCUUACAUCAUAGUACAAUUAUCAAAAUCAAGAAAUUAAUUUUGAUGCAAUAUUAUCUAAUCUGCUGACCUUAUUAAGAUUUAGCCAGUUGUCAAACUAAUGUGUAUGUGUAUUUUACAAAAAAUAAAAAUAAAAGAACAGAACAGAAAAAAUGGGGUUUUAGUGGUCUAGAAUCUAAUUCAGUUUCACACAUUGGAUUUAGUCACCAUGUCUCUUUGGUCUGCCUCAUUCUGGAACACUUCCUCAUUCUUUGUCUUUAAUAAGAUUAGAUGAUGACAGGAGUUUUGGUAUUCAUGACGCAUCAGCAAUGGAGAGCUCUACUUGAUACUCAAAACAAGAGGAGAGGGUGGUGUCACUCACUGAGCACAUAGGCCAGUUUGCCAGUUUCUUUGGUGAAUAUCCCUCAAUUUUUUUUUUUUUUUUUUCUGACAGCCUACACAUUUCUGGAAGAAAUACCACAGAAGUAAUGUUGUGUAUUAUAAUGAGAGUCUGGACAGAGUGUGCUCUCAAGCCUGUUCCCCUGGAGGUGGCUCAAGGCCACAGAAAAACUGAAAUCAGUACAGUCAGUCAUUGGGGUUGUCCUCACCAGAGAGCCAGCCAGCUGGCAGUUUUGGCAUUUGGAGACUAUAUGGGAGCAACUUAUCUGUGCCUGCCUUGUGUGGAAUCAGUGCUCCCAAUGAAAUGCAAAACCUGCAGGCUGAUAGAGGAGGCAGCACACAAUGUCCAGGGAGAACAUUGAUAUGUUAAAUAGAAGAUAUCUUUUCUCUAGAAGAAAGUCUCUUGGCAACCCACUGUUAAGUAAGACUUUUUUUCGUUUUACAAAAUGGAUCAAGAUGCUUGUUUUGGAUAAAUUCAGUAAAAAUGUUGAGCCAAAGGAUUAAAGGUCAAAUCCAUGAGAUUUACCAGAAAUCAAAUCUGGAUUCAGGCUGUAUUGUUUUCUGCCUUAAUGCUAAUCGAUAUAUUGAAAAUCAUCAAAAAGUUCCCAAGAGAUCCAUUUGAAAUUCCAGUGAAGAAGGAAGAACUGAACUUUGAAAAGGCCAAAAUGUUACAAUAAUUUUGAAAGAGGAAUUGUUCAGAGUCGAUUUGGGAGGAAAGCAAUGGCCGUAAGUGUUGAAGAAGACAAGGAGGUUCUUUGUGAUACUGAUACUUUCUACAGUACUGCAGUGGAGGAAAUGCCAGUGGGUAUGACAGACCUUAUUAAAUCCUGGGAUGAAAUGGUUUUGAAUGUGGUGCUUGCUGUUGCAGUGCAGGUGAUCAUGAUGUGCACUGUGCUUCUUUUGCAGGGGGUGAGGGGGUUGCGGGAGGAAUAUUUGAAGCUUGUCUCAAUGCUCAUAAUGGAUCAAAAAUAUAGAUUUUGCUGCAAAGCAACUUUAGUCAUGAGCUCUUUUGAGGAAAGUCAUUGCCUUUAUCCUCUUUAGAGUUAGAUUGUUGGUUGGGUAUAAAAGAUGGGAUUGUGAACAUCUUCCUUAGAAAUUUAUUUCCUAGUUAUCUAAAUAAUGAUUAUAUUGAGUAUUUGUUAUCAUCUAAUAAUAUACUUAUAGACUGAAAGAUAUGUGCCUUCAGUGUUUAAACUAGUAUAUCUGCCAUUAUUGUGUUAGUCAUCAGGCUGAGUAGAAUGAACUUUAAAAUUAUUUUUUAAGAAAAUAUUUGAAUUCAUUUUGUUUGGUAUCAUUUUUAUUCAGUAAGGCAUUUAUUUUAUUAGUGGUAAGUGUAAACUAGAGUCUUUUGAUAAGCACCAGCAACAAUCAUAUCCUAUGGUUAAAUCUCAGAAAAAUCGCUAUAUUGCAUAUUGAAUGUUCAGUAAAUUACAAUGAAGUAUAUUUUUCUUUAAAAUUGUUUGGCCUUUAUUCCUAAACAUUUGUACUUCUUGCCAUAACUUCAUAUUUUCAAAGGAAAAAGAUAAAACAGCACUCUAAAUAUUUUUUCUAGUCACAAAAUUACAUACAAAGGAUGGUUUGUGUGUAAUUUUGUACUAACAAAUGUGUUUUUUCAUGAAAAGUUUAAUAGUUCCAAGUUAGCUGCUGCUUGGCAGUAGCACAAAGACUGAUCAGUUGCAAAUUUCAUCAGCACCAUCUGCUAAGCAUUAUCUACUUCUUUAAGAAAAAAAGAAGUAUUAGAGUGUAAGAUGGCACCCUCUUCUGAUAUGGCAAACAUUUCCUGGUAUAGGCCCCAUAGUUACUCAACAUCCAAGAUUUUUCUGUUAAUAAACCAAUCAAUAAACUUUUUUUUCCAUAACAAUAACACAGAGUUGCUGUGGUAGGCCCUGUUGUAGAAGGAAUGAGUAUGAUCCUUGUUUUCUCCUUCUCACAAAUUAUCAAGCAGUCUUUUUCUUGACCAUCAUUUUUAAUUUGUCAGAAGAACUACUUAGUGAAUAUCCCACCAGUUGUUUUGAUUAGCAUCACAGAAAAAAAAAUAUGAUAAUGAAUUUCUAGGGGAGAGCAGCGCCCCUGUCCUUUCUCAGUCCUAGUACUGAUGCUUGCCACUGUCCACUGGAAAAGAAGGCACCGUGAAAAAGCAGUGAGUUUCAGUUUUAUUCAGGGACCUUACUGAGGAGUGUAGCCUGGGAGACAGUCUCUCAGGUAGCUCUGAGGAGUGGCUCUGAAGAGGUGGGAGGGUGCAGGGGAGCCAGUAUAUAUAUAUAUGAAAUGUUUUGGCUAGGAAAUAUAUAUAGUCAAGCAUAUAUCUCUACUGCUAAUCACAUACACCAGAAACCUCCAGAUAUCUCAAGUUAAGUUAAUGAUUUUAGUGCUUAUCUAUGUAUGAGAAGAUGCAAAAAUCUGGGGUCAUUGAAAUUCUUCCUUAGAUAUGCUGUCUUAGCUAUCUAGAGUCCUUUAUAUCAAAAAGCAAAAUGCUUCAGCCUGAAUUCCUUUCAGAGUGCACGGCAUUUCAGUGACUGCAGUAGCUAAUGACUUGCCCUUGUAGAACUGGAAUGGUGGGUAACAUCCUUUGUUUAUACCACCUUCCUUAUCAUAAAACUGCUGCUGUGGCAAAUAAGACAAAUGCAAGAAUCCUUGGAUGUAUCAGAUCAAUUAAAAGUCAUCACUGUCUUUAGGAAGUAAAUUUUUGAAAAGAGAUCCUAAAGAAUGAGAUGUAGGGGAUGGCAUCUACCCCAACAUCCAUUCCCUACAAAGACUGGAAGGCAGGUGAAGAGAACUACAUAAAGAUGAGACAAAACCAAACAAGAACUACAUAAAGAUGAGACAAAACCAAACAAACAUAACUCAUUUUAGGAAAAGGUAUAAAUAACUACAGAAUUUACUAGAAGACCUCCACAGCCCUGUUUAAUAAUGUGAAUUUUAUCAAGAUCAAAGUCAACCAUUUUUUCCAUCUAAAGACACCUUUAAUUUCUUUCUUGAACUCAAUAGCGUCCUCCCCAACACUUCUGCCUCCCAGAAGCCCACUCUCACGUUCCUUCAUCCUAUGUAUGUGGCCCUCUGCUGUUCUCUUCUUAGGCUACUUGUGUGCUGCUUCAAGCAUCAGACCAAAACCACUCCCUGGAUGUUUUUAGUUUGAUGACUCUGGCACUUCAAUAUGUUCAAACCCAAAUUUAUUAUCUUUCUCCAGGGCUGCUUAGCACAUUACCUUGUACCUCCUUCUCUUAUCCAGACUUUGGCAAUGAUCUCCAAAUUUGUUUCUCUGCCCUGCCCUUGGUCUUCCUUUAUCCAAUCCAUUUACCAUCAGAGUGAUCUCAUAAAAAUAUAAAUUAUUCAAUAGCUUUUCUUUCCACCUGGAAUGAAGUCCAAAGUCAGUAGCUUUCCUGCCUUUGGUAUUUCAUCUAAAAAGUCACCAUCAAACCCAAAGUCAUCAAGAUUUUCUCUCAUGUUAUUUUCUAGGAGUUUUAUAGUUUUAAGAAGAUCUGUGGCACCUGGCCAAGAUUGCUUUGCCAGCUAUCCCUGUGCCCUUUUUCCCUAGCAGCCCCGCUCUAGCAACAAGGGACUUUUCACUUUCACUUCACUGGCAGCUGGACCUUAGCUCCUGGUUGGUUAAGCCCAUUCUUCCAAGAACCAACCUCAGAGAAAAGAUUGUGUAUUGAUUAUCCCUGUCGAUAAAGUAUUACUGACAAAAGAGGGAAAACUGGUUUCCUGAGUCAGGAAUGAGGAGGGAACACAUUUGGUUCGGGGCUGCGUUGACUGAGGUGUUGGACAACACGUGGAGCAGUCCAGCAGGCAGGCUGAGCCUGAGGCAGACAGGACCGCCGUCCCUGGCACCCUGAGCAUAAGGACGGUGGUCGCUGUGAGGACGGGUGGGCUCUCCAGGGGGAGAGCUGAGCAAACGCCUGAGGAACAAUAAACUCAGGGGAAGAAGAGAGAGGAGUCAAAGAAAAAAUGAACUGUUUUACAGACUGGCUCAUCAGAAAAUUGAAGGCAGAGGAGGAUAGAAGGCAGGAUGCACAAGGCCUGGCAUGGAGCUCGAGGGGGAAGACAGAUGGGGGGCAGCAAAUGGUGAGAGCUGGAGCACAGGGGGUCUCCAGGUAGAGGUGGUGGGGGCUGGGUGGAGGUGGGGAAGGCAUCUUCCAGGAGGAGAAGCAGCACUGAAUCUAGACCUGAAGGCCGAGUAAUGUGAACUAGAGAAAGCCACUGGGUUGAAAUCAAAAUGCGUAGACUUUUGUCUCCAUUCAUUUGAUUCUUGACCACUGUUUCUGGCCAUUGUGGUAAUAUACUAACAACAUCUAAUCUUGGGGAAAGCAUUUUUCUUUUUUUUCUUCCUAAGUAAAUUUAUUGACUAUAUGUA